GAUAACCUUAAAUUUGGGCCAUUACACGGAUCCCCCUUGGAGUGGGUCGGAUCGCGGCGGGUCAUAGGGGUUAAAACGGCGCCGUUUAGUUAUGUAUUAAAACUAAGAAAAAAAACCCUAAAAACAUUUUAAACAACUACCAAAAAAAGAAAAAAAUGGAAGAGAGCAUCCUCUGCUCCAAAGCCACACAAAGUCCGGCCUAGGGCUCCGCCCUUGCGCCGCCUUGUCCCCAC
rnacentral:lncRNA from 1 species